rnacentral:rRNA from 1 species
GAUGAACGCUAGCUACAGGCUUAACACAUGCAAGUCGAGGGGCAGCAUGGGAGUUGCUUGCAAUUCCCGAUGGCGACCGGCGCACGGGUGAGUAACGCGUAUCCAACCUACCCAUAAAUAGGGAAUAGCCCGGUGAAAAUCGGAUUAAUGCCCUAUGUGUUCCAAAGAAGACAUCUGAUUUGGAGUAAAGAUUCAUCGUUUAUGGAUGGGGAUGCGUCUGAUUAGGUAGUCGGUAGGGUAACGGCCUACCGAGCCGACGAUCAGUAGGGGUUCUGAGAGGAAGGUCCCCCACACUGGAACUGAGACACGGUCCAGACUCCUACGGGAGGCAGCAGUGAGGAAUAUUGGUCAAUGGGCGGGAGCCUGAACCAGCCAAGUAGCGUGCAGGAUGACGGCCCUACGGGUUGUAAACUGCUUUUAUGCGGGGAUAAAAGGAGAUCACGUGUGGUCUUUUUGCAGGUACCGCAUGAAUAAGGACCGGCUAAUUCCGUGCCAGCAGCCGCGGUAAUACGGAAGGUCCGGGCGUUAUCCGGAUUUAUUGGGUUUAAAGGGAGCGCAGGCGGCAUCAUAAGCGUGUUGUGAAAUGUGGAGGCUCAACCUUCAGACUGCAGCGCGAACUGUGGUACUUGAGUGCGCUGAAAGUGGGCGGAAUUCGUGGUGUAGCGGUGAAAUGCUUAGAUAUCACGAAGAACUCCGAUUGCGAAGGCAGCUCACUGUAGCGUUACUGACGCUCAUGCUCGAAAGUGCGGGUAUCGAACAGGAUUAGAUACCCUGGUAGUCCGCACGGUAAACGAUGGAUGCCCGUUGUUCGACCGUAAGGUUGAGCGACCAAGCGAAAGCAUUAAGCAUCCCACCUGGGGAGUACGCCGGCAACGGUGAAACUCAAAGGAAUUGACGGGGGCCCGCACAAGCGGAGGAACAUGUGGUUUAAUUCGAUGAUACGCGAGGAACCUUACCCGGGCUUGAAUUGCAGUGGAAGGAUACAGAGAUGUUGACGCCCUUCGGGGCCGCUGUGAAGGUGCUGCAUGGUUGUCGUCAGCUCGUGCCGUGAGGUGUCGGCUUAAGUGCUAUAACGAGCGCAACCCUUUUCUUCAGUUGCCAUCAGGUGAAGCUGGGCACUCCGGAGACACUGCCACCGUAAGGUGUGAGGAAGGUGGGGAUGACGUCAAAUCAGCACGGCCCUUACGUCCGGGGCUACACACGUGUUACAAUGGGGUAUACAGAGCGUCGGCUUGCCGCAAGGAGAGUCUAAUCGUGAAAGUGCCUCCCAGUUCGGAUUGGGGUCUGCAACCCGACCCCAUGAAGCUGGAUUCGCUAGUAAUCGCGCAUCAGCCAUGGCGCGGUGAAUACGUUCCCGGGCCUUGUACACACCGCCCGUCAAGCCAUGAAAGUCGGGGGCGCCUAAAGUCCGUGACCGCGAGGGUCGGCCUAGGGUGAAACCGAUGAUUGGGGC